UUUGGAAACGAUGGCUAAUACCGCAUGAUGCCUACGGGCCAAAGAGGGGGACCUUCGGGCCUCUCGCGUCAGGAUAUGCCUAGGUGGGAUUAGCUAGUUGGUGAGGUAAGGGCUCACCAAGGCGACGAUCCCUAGCUGGUCUGAGAGGAUGAUCAGCCACACUGGAACUGAGACACGGUCCAGACUCCUACGGGAGGCAGCAGUGGGGAAUAUUGCACAAUGGGCGCAAGCCUGAUGCAGCCAUGCCGCGUGUGUGAAGAAGGCCUUCGGGUUGUAAAGCACUUUCAGUCGUGAGGAAGGUGGUGUAGUUAAUAGCUGCAUUGUUUGACGUUAGCGACAGAAGAAGCACCGGCUAACUCCGUGCCAGCAGCCGCGGUAAUACGGAGGGUGCGAGCGUUAAUCGGAAUUACUGGGCGUAAAGCGCAUGCAGGUGGUUUGUUAAGUCAGAUGUGAAAGCCCGGGGCUCAACCUCGGAAUAGCAUUUGAAACUGGCAGACUAGAGUACUGUAGAGGGUGGUAGAAUUUC
rnacentral:rRNA from 1 species